UUGCUUAUUUACUAAGACUCGGACUUCAUUAAUUGACAGAGUUUAAUGGGGCUUCUGACGGGCACUCGUCCACCGAAGUCGACGGGGGGCUAACGCUCCGCGGCCCGCCAAAGCAACAAAGGUAAGUAAACAAUGGGUGGGAGGUUCGGGCCCAGAGGACCCUAUCUCGGUAAUGAUCCUUCCGCAGGUUCACCUACGGAAA
rnacentral:misc_RNA from 1 species